AGAGUUUGAUUCUGGCUCAGAACGAACGCUGGCGGCAGGCUUAACACAUGCAAGUUGAGCGGGAUUGGUAAGUAGCUUGCUACAGACCAUGAGAGCAGCGCACUGGUGAGUAACACGUGGGAACAUACCUUUUGGGUGGGGACAACAGUUGGAAACGACUGCUAAUACCGCAUAAGCCCUAAGGGGGAAAGAUUAAUUGCCGAAAGAUUGGGCCCGCGGAAGAUUAGGGUAGUAGGUGGGGUAAACGGCCUACCUAGCCGACGAUCUAUAGCUGGUCUGAGAGGACGAUCAGCCACAUUGGAACUGAGACACGGUCCAGACUCCUACGGGAGGCAGCAGUGAGGAAUAUUGGGCAAUGGAGGCAACUCUGACCCAAGCCAUGCCGCGUGAGUGAAGAAGGUUUUCGGAUUGUAAAGCUCUUUCAGACGGGAAGAUGAUGACGGUACCGUCAGAAGAAGCACCGGCUAACUUCGUGCCAGCAGCCGC
rnacentral:rRNA from 1 species